UCAUAGUAAACACCUUGUGUCUUAUUUUGUGCAACAAAUAAUAGACACUUUUGUGCAACAUCGCUGAAAUCAGUAAUACUCUCUUUGACAAGCAUUGGAAUUCUCUGUAAAAUUUAGUGCUAACAAUAGUAAACCACUACUUUGUGUAAAAUUGUUGUAAACAACAAAAACAAAAAUCAAAUAUUCAAGUAGCUGCCAGACACAUCGGUGCUCAGGACAGAAAGUAUUGAAACAUAUCUACCUCCAAAGGAACGUCUUACCAAAGGAUGAUAAAUAUAACAUUUGAAAAUGAAAGAUUGAUACUUGGUGAGAACCACUGAGGGCCAAUCACAGGACUAAAUAUCGCAAUAUCGACAUAUUGGCACACCCCUAUUAGAUAUAUGUUUAUGAAUAGAUGAUUUGAUAUGAUAUAGUUCAUAUAUCUGAAGUGGUAUAGUUCUCUAUGAUUUUUAGGGGCUUGGAGAGGACCAGCAUACCUAGGCUCACCUCCCCAGAUUUUCCACCUGCAGCCCAUAGUGGGGCUGUCUUGAUUUCCUGUGUCUUUCUCCCGCUAUCUGCCUUACCUGAGAGUUUGUUUGUUUGUCUGUGCCACAUCCCACAUUUCGGAGAUGCGCAGCUCUUCGCCAGCAAGGGGGAUCCCUACCUCCACCUCUAUAGCCACCAGAAGUCCCCUUCUCAUCGAGCGACGUCAUCCAUCUUCCAGAAGGAAUCCUCGGAUCCUCAGUGUUUCCGGAGAUCCCCGGUGCUGCCCUGUGUGUUGCUCUGCUUGAGUUAUCCUCCUGAGAACUUAACAACAGAAAUCUUUACACCAUUCUUAAAAAUAACAGGGAAAUCCAGUGGAUAGUGGUGGAAUAGAUGGGGGGUGGGGGGCAAGAAGCGUGGAUUUGUGGCAGCUGAGGCUUUGCAUUCAAAUGGUUUGGUGUGUCUGGAGCAAAGGGCCACCCUUCCCACCCCUCCACCCAAACACCCAGGAGAGGGAGGGAGAGGAGGUGUUAUCAGCUCCUUGCAGCCAGAGCCCAGACUUUUUCUUGCAUACACAAUGUGGCAAAGGACCAGAAAAGUGAGUUGUCUUUGUUUUGUCAAGUGUGCCAUGACAAAAUGCUGGGGGGCCCCCACUGAAGACCCCUCCCAAGCAGUCUCACACACACAAUUAUGCGGGUAACAUUGAUAGUGAAGAGAUCUGCGUGUUUGACCUGCAAAUCAUUUUAUACAAAACAAUGACACAUUUCAGUUCAAAAUGUUAGAGGUUUUUCAUUUAUGUGUGAAGCUCAGUUCUUCCUACCAUUUCACAGAAACUGACAGGUGAAAAGCGUGUUUGCUCCAUUCACCACCUUCCUUUUUGGGUUACAUUAGUUAUUAGUUUUUUUUUUUUUAACUGAUUAUGUGCCUAUAAAAUGCACAGACACAUUAAGGUGUUAAAAAAAUCUAUUUGAACAAUUUUUAUACUUGUCCAGAGAAAACCCCCAUUCAUCAUUUUCAACAAGUACUGCUAAAUAUUCAUGAAACCUGACAAAGGGGUUGUUGUCCCCCUGUCUUUCCCUGGUAGCUUUUGUCUUAAGAGUCUUUUCAAGCAGGCAGUUCAAAGUGAGAAAUUAUCUUCAUCAUUUCUGUCCAAUUGCUUAAGCUCUGACAGAAAGGGGGAGUGGGAGUGGGGUCUAGAACAGGGUCAAUGCUCUUCCAGUUUUGAGUAAGGGGAUGAAGUUCACGGCGUUUAAAGCUGAUUCAUGUGAGUGUGAUGUCAGCAUUGAUGCUGUAAUACACACUGCUACCUGUCUGCCAAAUGGUUAUAGUUAAGCACAAAUAAACAUAGAUUGUUUGCAGCACAGAAACAUGAACUUUCCAUUUUUUUUAUUUAACCUUUAUUUAACCAGGGGAGCUGUUAAGAACAUGUUCUAAUUUAUAAUAAAACUCUGUAUUAGACGAGAUGGAAUCUGUAAGAGUAGAGUACAACUGUGUCUGCAUUUCAAUUGGCAUUAGUAAUAAAGCCCUGAAGGGUUUCCCCUCUCUUUGUAUUAAUAAGAACGUCAAAGUAUCACUCCAGUUAAAAAAAAAUGCUGAUUUAUUAGUAAUUCCUGUUUUUAGAUUAACCUGAAAAGGAUUAAAGAUAAGGGCAUGAAUUGACAUUUCAAAAACGAUGUCUAGCGUGUUAAAAGUAAACAUGAUAAAUCUUAGCAUGUUUAGACUGAUUUAUCUUAGAUAAAAACUGCGGGACAAGGAAAACUAUUGAAAAAAUGUCAGAAACUGUAUCACCUAAAUGUAAUGCAUAUUUUGACAGACUGCUCAGAUAAAUUUUAGGUACUUUAAUUUGAGCGGGAAACUUUGACAAGUUUUAAUGCAAAAAAAGUGGGUCAUGCUACUGUUAUCGCUGACAUUGAUAACUGCAUUUCUAUGAAAGUUUCUCUUUUGCACAAGAGCAUUUUGAGUCAUUUAGAAUUCUAACUUAGACAGAUCCGCCAAAGAUCCUGUAUCUCCUGUUUAAGCCCCCCUACAUCUGUUAGUAAGCACAACAAAUAUAUAUUUAUCCUUAACAUAGAAGUUUUACACUUGGUAACAACUUCAUUGGUCCAACUAGGACGUGCACCCACACUAGCAUGUAUGUGAAUGUUUAUCACAGCUUUUAAUGAAUACCCUUGAUGUCAUUAUUGAGGCUUUGCAUAAGGCUACAAAGAGAGAGAAACAAAGGAAAACAACAUUUCCACUCUAUAGAGCUCCAGACCUGACAUGACUCCCUGUGGCCAGUCGGCCAAUUCAGCAGCAAUAUGAACAGCGCCGCCAUGAGCGCCACUGACACUUUCAAGCCAUUGGAGUAUUCAUCUCACUUUACUUGACAUGACAUUUAGCUUUAUUAAAAAAAAUAAAAAA